AGUCGAACGAUGAAGCCCUGCUUGCAGGGUGGAUUAGUGGCGCACGGGUGAGUAAAGAAUAGAUUACAUGCCUCAUAGACCGGGACAACAGUUGGAAACGACUGCUAAUACUGGAUAUUCCCUACGGGGGAAAGCUUUUGCGCUAUGAGAUUGGUCUAUUUCCCAUCAGCUAGUUGGUAAGGUAAUGGCUUACCAAGGCUAUGACGGGUAGCUGGUCUUAGAGGACGAUCAGCCACACUGGAACUGAGACACGGUCCAGACUCCUACGGGAGGCAGCAGUGGGGAAUAUUGCACAAUGGAGGAAACUCUGAUGCAGCAACGCCGCGUGGAGGAUGACGCAUUUCGGUGUGUAAACUCCUUUUAUAUGGGAAGAUAAUGACGGUACCAUAUGAAUAAGCACCGGCUAACUCCGUGCCAGCAGCCGCGGUAAUACGGAGGGUGCAAGCGUUACUCGGAAUCACUGGGCGUAAAGCGCGCGCAGGCGGUCUUUUAAGUUGGAUGUGAAAGCCUAUGGCUCAACCAUAGAACUGCAUCCAAAACUAUUAGACUAGAGUCUGGGAGGGGAAGAUGGAAUUAGUUGUGUAGGGGUAAAAUCCGUAGAGAUAACUAGGAAUACCAAAAGCGAAGGCGAUCUUCUGGAACAGUACUGACGCUGAGGCGCGAAAGCGUGGGGAGCAAACAGGAUUAGAUACCCUGGUAGUCCACGCCCUAAACGAUGAAUGUUAGUCGUCGGAGGCCUAGUGUCUUCGGUGAUGCAGCUAACGCAUUAAACAUUCCGCCUGGGGAGUACGGUCGCAAGAUUAAAACUCAAAGGAAUAGACGGGGACCCGCACAAGUGGUGGAGCAUGUGGUUUAAUUCGAAGAUACGCGAAGAACCUUACCUAGCCUUGACAUAUUUGAGAACACUUUAGAGAUAGAGUGGUGCCUUCGGGAGCUCAUAUACAGGUGCUGCACGGCUGUCGUCAGCUCGUGUCGUGAGAUGUUGGGUUAAGUCCCGCAACGAGCGCAACCCUCGUCACUAGUUACUAGCGGUUCGGCCGAGGACUCUAGUGAGACUGCCUUCGCAAGGAGGAGGAAGGUGAGGACGACGUCAAGUCAUCAUGGCCCUUACGGCUAGGGCAACACACGUGCUACAAUGGGCAGGACAAUGAGACGCGAUACCGCGAGGUGGAGCAAAUCUAUAAACCUGUUCUCAGUUCGGAUUGUAGUCUGCAACUCGACUACAUGAAGCUGGAAUCACUAGUAAUCGUAGAUCAGCUAUGCUACGGUGAAUACGUUCCCGGGUCUUGUACUCACCGCCCGUCACACCAUGGGAGUUGAUUUCACCCGAAGCGGGGAAGCUAAAC
rnacentral:rRNA from 1 species